GUGGGAAGUAAAAGUCGUAACAAGGUCUCCGUUGGUGA
rnacentral:rRNA from 1 species